rnacentral:rRNA from 1 species
AUUGAACGCUGGCGGCAGGCCUAACACAUGCAAGUCGAGCGGAUGAAGGGAGCUUGCUCCUGGAUUCAGCGGCGGACGGGUGAGUAAUGCCUAGGAAUCUGCCUGGUAGUGGGGGAUAACGUCCGGAAACGGGCGCUAAUACCGCAUACGUCCUGAGGGAGAAAGUGGGGGAUCUUCGGACCUCACGCUAUCAGAUGAGCCUAGGUCGGAUUAGCUAGUUGGUGGGGUAAAGGCCUACCAAGGCGACGAUCCGUAACUGGUCUGAGAGGAUGAUCAGUCACACUGGAACUGAGACACGGUCCAGACUCCUACGGGAGGCAGCAGUGGGGAAUAUUGGCAAAUGGGCGAAAGCCUGAUCCAGCCAUGCCGCGUGUGUGAAGAAGGUCUUCGGAUUGUAAAGCACUUUAAGUUGGGAGGAAGGGCAGUAAGUUAAUACCUUGCUGUUUUGACGUUACCAACAGAAUAAGCACCGGCGAACUUCGU